GACGACAUGGAAGGCAAAGUCGAAGGGUUUUUUGUUUCAUAAAUAUAAUGACCUUCGAAGUUAAGGUCCCUGUAACUAAGACUUCGACACAAAAGAAAAUGCUACGAUACGGACGAGAUAAAAAUCGGCCUUUACUUGUUUUUUUACUUUGUUAGAUCCAUCGAUACGUAUGUUCAAGAAUUAAAAUAAUUUUAUUGAAAAUAAAAGUGCAAGUUUAUAUUUGCCGUUUCUGUGUUUAAUAAAAUCUAGUAGUUAUCCAGACCAUUUUGUGCUUUCUAAUCUUAAAAUGGUUAUUUAAUUUUAUUAGUAAGUAUGACCAGACACCGACUCAGUUUGUUUAUAUAUACUGAACGCUGGGAACCCUAUAAAACUCAAGUCCUUUUCAUCGGAAGUACAAUUUAUUUUAUACAAUUUAUACAUAGACAUACAUAUACAUACAUAAACUUUAUCUAAACACGGGAAAAAACCAUC